UGCCGGAGGUUACUGCUAUCGAGGUUCGACUAAGCCAUGCGAGUCGAAUGUAGCAAUACAUGGCGAACUGCUCAGUAACACGUGGACAACCUGCCCUUAGGACGGGGAUAAACCCGGGAAACUGGGUAUAAUACCCGAUAGGUCUCGAUUGCUGGAAUGCAUCGAGAUUUAAAGCUCCGGCGCCUAAGGAUGGGUCUGCGGCCUAUCAGGUAGUAGUGGGUGUAGCGUACCUACUAGCCUACGACGGGUACGGGUUGUGAGAGCAAGAGCCCGGAGAUGGAUUCUGAGACACGAAUCCAGGCCCUACGGGGUGCAGCAGGCGCGAAAACUUUACAAUGCUGGCAACAGCGAUAAGGGAACCUCGAGUGCCAGGUUACAAAUCUGGCUGUCGAGAUGCCUAAAAAGCAUUUCAUAGCAAGGGCCGGGCAAGACCGGUGCCAGCCGCCGCGGUAACACCGGCGGCUCGAGUGGUAACCGUUAUUAUUGGGUCUAAAGGGUCUGUAGCCGGCCGGAUAAGUCUCUUGAGAAAUCUGGCAGCUUAACUGUCAGGCUUUCAGGAGAUACUGUCUGGCUCGAGGCCGGGAGAGGUGAGAGGUACUUCAGGGGUAGGGGUGAAAUCUUGUAAUCCUUGAAGGACCACCAGUGGCGAAGGCGUCUCACCAGAACGGACCUGACGGCAAGGGACGAAAGCUAGGGGCACGAACCGGAUUAGAUACCCGGGUAGUCCUAGCCGUAAACGAUACUCGCUAGGUGUCGGCCACGGUGCGACCGUUGUCGGUGCCGUAGGGAAGCCGUGAAGCGAGCCACCUGGGAAGUACGGCCGCAAGGCUGAAACUUAAAGGAAUUGGCGGGGGAGCACCACAACGGGUGGAGCUUGCGGUUUAAUUGGAUUCAACGCCGG
rnacentral:rRNA from 1 species